UGCCUUAGUAACUGCGAGUGAAGCGGCAAAAGCUCAAAUUUGAAAUCUGGCGUCUUCGGCGUCCGAGUUGUAAUUUGGAGGGAUAUCUUCGGGGUUGGCGCCGUCCUAAGUUCCUUGGAACAGGACGUCAUAGAGGGUGAGAAUCCCGUGCCUGGGCGGCUGCCCAACUCCAUGUGAAGUGUCUCCGACGAGUCGAGUUGUUUGGGAAUGCAGCUCAAAAUGGGUGGUAAAUUUCAUCUAAAGCUAAAUAUUGGCGAGAGACCGAUAGCGCACAAGUAGAGUGAUCGAAAGAUGAAAAGCACUUUGAAAAGAGAGUUAAAAAGUACGUGAAAUUGUUGAAAGGGAAGCGCUUGCGACCAGACUCGAUCUUUGGUGAUCAGCCGGGCUUCUGUCCGGUGCCCUUGCCAUUGAUUGGGCCAGCAUCGGUUCCGACGGCGGGAUAAAAGGAGGAGGAAUGUGGCUCCCUUCGGGGAGUGUUAUAGCCUCCUUCACAAUGCCGCCAGUUGGGACCGAGGACCGCGCUUCGGCUAGGAUGCUGGCAUAAUGGUCUUAAGCGACCCGUCUUGAAACACGGACCAAGGAGUCUAACAUCUAUGCGAGUGUUCGGGUGGAAAACCCUUGCGCGUAAUGAAAGUGAACGGAGGUGUGAACCCUUCACGGGGUGCAACAUCGACCGGUCCUGAUGUCUUCGGAAGGAUCUGAGUAAGAGCAUAGCUGUUGGGACCCGAAAGAUGGUGAACUAUGCCUGAAUAGGGUGAAGCCAGAGGAAACUCUGGUGGAGGCUCGCAGCGGUUCUGACGUGCAAAUCGAUCGUCAAAUUUGGGUAUAGGGGCGAAAGACUAAUCGAACCAUCUAGUAGCUGGUUCCUGCCGAAGU
rnacentral:rRNA from 1 species